rnacentral:rRNA from 1 species
AUUGAACGCUGGCGGCAGGCCUAACACAUGCAAGUCGAGCGGUAGCACAGAGAGCUUGCUCUCGGGUGACGAGCGGCGGACGGGUGAGUAAUGUCUGGGAAACUGCCUGAUGGAGGGGGAUAACUACUGGAAACGGUAGCUAAUACCGCAUAACGUCGCAAGACCAAAGAGGGGGACCUUCGGGUCUCUUGCCAUCAGAUGUGCCCAGAUGGGAUUAGCUAGUAGGUGGGGUAACGGCUCACCUAGGCGACGAUCCCUAGCUGGUCUGAGAGGAUGACCAGCCACACUGGAACUGAGACACGGUCCAGACUCCUACGGGAGGCAGCAGUGGGGAAUAUUGCACAAUGGGCGCAAGCCUGAUGCAGCCAUGCCGCGUGUAUGAAGAAGGCCUUCUGGUUGUAAAGUACUUUCAGCGGGGAGGAAGGCGAUAAGGUUAAUAACCUUGUCGAUUGACGUUACCCGCAGAAGAAGCACCGGCUAACUCCGUGCCAGCCGCCGCGGUAAUAC